AGGCGUGGGUGUUCGGCUACGUCACUGGGGCCCUACGGUGCCUGGAGCUGGGCAGUCUUCUCGUCAGAGUGGGGACUGGUAAGAGCGACCUCCCCGCCAGGUCCUGUGUGUUGCCAGCCGAAGAAGGGUAGCUGAAAAAUUCAGACCCAGCACAGUGUUUAUGUUGGUCAAAAAUAGAAAACUAUGUCUGGCGCCGCCGAGGCGGGAGGACCCUUCAGGCCAAGAGCAGCCUAGCAACAUGGCGCAACCCCAUCUCUGUAGUCCUACCUCAGCUCCCCCCAGCUGAGGGGGGCUCAGCCCCCCAGCCCUCAAGUAUGAACCCAACGGUUCAAGGCUCCAGUGAGCUAUGAUCCCAUCACAGCAUUCCAGCCUGCGAGAUUGAGGACACAAAGACCAACGAGCCACCACAGCCACCAGUCCCAGAACCCGCUAAUGCUGGGGAACGGAAAAUGAGGGAGUUCAACUCUGGCAAGUUCUCAGCGAAAUCCACGACCUUUUCCUUUAUCUUCUGGACUCUCAAUGUGACUGAUGAAAGUUACCACAUGCUCUGCAGGGGGAAAUGGUUUAGCAUGUAUUACUACAUCUUAAUCACAUCUUUGUAAAGCCAGGAGCAUUUUGAAAGUCACGUUACAGACAUUCAGACAUUGUUUAAACAUAGUCUGUAUAUACCAAAGUAUAGGACGUUGUAUCAUCUCAUAUUAAUUAGUUAGUUGGCUCAAAAUUAGUGCUAAUGACUUAGUAAUUCAGUGAUUUCUGUUAGCUUUAAAACCUUUAUUUCAGAACUAUUUCACCUCUUGGUUUUCAUUUUUGCUGUGUGUCACUGCCUGCCAGCUGCUAAUUUAUUAACUCCCAGUGAAUCACGUGUCCUGUGAAGGGACUGAAUAUUAGUGGCAAAUUAUGUUGAUGAUUUAUAUUUUGAAUAAAUAGUUUGAAUACAUA
rnacentral:lncRNA from 10 species